rnacentral:rRNA from 1 species
UACGGAGGGGGCUAGCGUUGUUCGGAAUUACUGGGCGUAAAGCGCAUGUAGGCGGCUUUGCAAGUCAGAGGUGAAAGCCCGGGGCUCAACCCCGGAAUAGCCUUUGAGACUGCAUCGCUAGAAUUGUGGAGAGGUAAGUGGAAUUCCGAGUGUAGAGGUGAAAUUCGUAGAUAUCGGGAGGAACACCGGUGGCGAAGGCGGCGACCUGGGUAGAUACUGACGCUGAGGCGCGAAAGCGUGGGGAGCGAACAGG